rnacentral:rRNA from 1 species
CCCUUAGAUGUUCUGGGCCGCACGCGCGCUACACUGAUGAAUGCAACGAGCUCUGCCCUUGACCGAAAGGCCCGGGUAAACUUGUGAAACUUCAUCGUGAUGGGGAUAGAUUAUUGCAAUUAUUAAUCUUCAACGAGGAAUUCCUAGUAAGCGCGAGUCAUCAGCUCGCGUUGAUUACGUCCCUGCCCUUUGUACACACCGCCCGUCGCUCCUACCGAUUGAAUGGUCCGGUGAAAUCUUCGGAUUGCUGACCAAGAUCCAGCAAUGGAGCUUGGUUGCGAGAAGUUGAUUAAACCUUAUUAUUUAGAGGAAGGAGAAGUCGUAACA